CAGCUAAGAUUGUUUCUAUUGAAACGAUCUAAAGUAUCUAUGCCUCUCAAGUUCUCAUUCUCCCUCCUCCCAAGCUUGGCUUCUUCCAGAGGCAGAAGAGGAGAGAAGAGAAUUGAGCAGGGACCAAUGGAAAGGUGGCAGAGGAGCGGUAACUAACGCAGGCGAGGGACCAGCCAUCCCACCACACACAGGGGAAACCAACACUCAGGACUGUCCCCUCCCCCCGACACUACAGCUGUACAAUCCAGAAGGCUCUGCAAGAUGAGGACCGUCAGUCACAAGACCUGCUCAGUGCACUGGAUGGACCGACUGUACCUGUAUGACCCAUGGAGACGUUUGCACUACCAACCAUAAUGCCCUGCCCUCCACUGUACUGCUGAGACUAAUGGACCCUCCUCGGUGCCUGGUUACCCAUACCCACCUCUGACCUCUACCCUUUAGCUAGACACCCUUCCCCAUGGUUACCCACCUCUAACCUCCACCCACACUGCCCUUGGUUACCCACCUCUGACCUCUACCCUUUAGCUAGAUACCCUUCCCCCUGGUUACCCACCGCUGACCUCCACCUACACUGCCCCUGGUUACCCACCUCUGACCUCUACCCUUUAGCUAGACACCCUUCCCCAUGGUUACCCACCUCUAACCUCUACCCACACUGCCCCUGGUUACCCACUCUAACCUUUACCCACCACUGCCCCUGGUUACCCACCUCUGAUCUCUACCCU
rnacentral:lncRNA from 1 species